rnacentral:rRNA from 1 species
GACAGAGGGUGCAAACGUUGUUCGGAAUUACUGGGCGUAAAGCGCGUGUAGGCGGCCCUGCAAGUCGGAUGUGAAAUCCCACGGCUCAACCGUGGAAGUGCAUUCGAAACUGCAGGGCUAGAGUCCUGGAGAGGAAGGUGGAAUGCUUGGUGUAGAGGUGAAAUUCGUAGAUAUCAAGCGGAACACCGGUGGCGAAGGCGGCCUUCUGGACAGUGACUGACGCUGAGACGCGAA